GAAGAAACCUGCAGAUGAUAUCUCCAAUGGCCGGCCAAAAGACUUGCUUUCACUAGUUCAGGGUGGUGUCCAUGUUUCCCGUAGGAUAGCUACGAAGCAUAUGCCAUCAAACUUUCCAUUCCGAAUCCCUGAACUUGUGGACAGGCAUGUUAUAUCAAAUUUGACUUCUCCUGGAAUUGAAAACUCUGAGGAAUGGCGCAAUGUUAAUGAUGUUAAACCAGCAAUAGCUCCAGCUCUCCUCACAUGUGAAGAUUUUGAAAAGUCAAUUCUGUCAGAAAGCACUGAAAUUUAUCCAAAUUUCCUUGUUGCUGCAUCUCUUUGUAUUCAAGAUGAAAGUGGUUCUCCUGCAUGUCAACUGCUGUUGUCAUAACGAUUCUGUUUCAUCUUUUGUAAGUCAAUAAUAUGCAUAUUUUUUUUGUUGGAUUUUCAGGUCCGUUUGGGUGCGGCUGGCCAUAGUCAAAACUCCGGUACUAUCGCAUUGUAUUGAUUGUCUCAUUGCUCAGAUUUGCUAUUAAAGAGAAGGUACUUGCCGAGGAAGCUGCCAAGAGGAUGACCUAUGAGCUAAAAUAGAAUUGAUUUCCUGUUACUUUAGGACAUUAUGGUCAUUUUGGGUCUUCUAAAGUAGUUCAUAAUAAAAGCAGUGUUUCUUUUCUUUGAAGGCAGGUUAUAAUUGAAUUUUCUGGUAAUGCUGUUUGAGGGUGACUAGGUUUUUCCGUGCUUGAAGCUGCCUUCUUUAUUCAUGAACUGUUAGGUUAGACUCAAUGCAAUUUGCCCAUCAUUUUAAUCAUUUUAUUACAACUCAAAAAAGAAAAAAAAUGAUAAUACUUGAAGUUGGCAUUUGGUUG
rnacentral:lncRNA from 1 species